AGGAAAGCCCUCGGUCCCCUCAGCUCCGGGGGCGCCCGGCUGGGCCCAGCUCCGCGGGCGCGCCCCCGUCACCCCCUCCCAGGCCAGCUCACGGCAGCGCCAAGGGGGCGCGGGCUCAGGCUGAGGCCUCCUCCUACCUAGGCGUCUGGCGUCCGUUUGUCUGUCCAAGGCCCCAGCGCAGGUAGAGCGCGGGGCUGGGGGGCGCAGAGCUCCAUUGGGCUGGGAACCAGCGCGUCUCGUGCCCUUGGGGGACCCGCCUGCCGGAGCCGCCUGCUGAGCCUCCCGCUCCCCUCCACUCUGGAGCGCGCGGAGCCCAGUCUGCUCGGAACUCCACUCUGCGGGAGCGGAGGCCGGCGCCAGCCCGGGAAGGCGGGCCGGGGGCGGGAGGCCGAGCGCGAGGCCCUUGGCGCCGAACCUCCGCGGCCAGGCCGGGCAGCUUACGAUUCUUCAUCAAUGCGUAAAAUGAGAUCGCCGCGGAGUUCGAGCCUAUUUGGGGUCUCCGGAGACUAGCAAGACCCUCUGAAAGACACCGCGUCCCCAGGGAUAAUCGCCCGUGUCCGGCAAAGCUACCCUGCUCGAGCGCGAAGCUACCCUGCUCGAGCGCGAACCCUGGGACCCAGCGCGGAAGGCAGACCGGCAGCUGGCCGCUGGACUGUGAACGCCAGGGCCGAGCGGAAGCUUCCCGCCCGGCCGCGAUCGGUGCCGCGGCUCUCAGGGAAGUGGCUACGCACGGCCCUCGAGAAAGCAGAUUAUCGGAGCCCUUUCAGAGAGCGCACAACAAAUGCGCCCGCCAUCGAAUGCAUCAUUUACCACCGCAGAUCCGCGCGCUGAUGGGCAGGCAGAUAGCCGUCCGCUGGGGGCACGCGGGCUCCCCUUGCCCGCACCACCCGCCUGCCUGCCAGGGCCACUGAGUGUGCGCCCCGGUGUGCCCGGCGUGCUUGGAUGGACACGUGGGUGUGCCAGUGCAUGGGCUAAUGCCGAUGCUAGUGUGCGAGUGUGUCAAACAAGUGUACCACAAAAAAGUGCACGUGUGCGAGCCCAUCCAUGCACACGCAUGGCAGGCGUGUGUGCUGAGCCCCCGGAGGAGAUGUAUCCGAGUGUGUCUGCAUGUCUAUGUACAGCUCCAUGUAUGAAUUGAUGUGUGUUGCAGUGGGUGUUUGUGUCUGCGUAUCUGGGUUGUGGGCAACUGUAUAUAUGACUGCAUCUUUGAAAUGCAUGUUUCAUACACUCAUGCGUGUGUGCUAAGUCCUCGGAGGCGGCCGAUGAGGUGGUUGGAGGGUCCACACAGGAGGCGGUGCCACACUAAGCUUGUGGGCAAGCAUGCGGCCCAGGGUGGCUGGACACGUGGCGGAGGAAUGGGAGUGCAAGCCCCCGUGUCCGAGGGCAGCGGAUAAGCAUCCUGCGAGUGCCUCACUGUGUCUGCUCUGGAGGUGGCUGUUUAGGGGCGCACGCCGGAGGCCGCUAGGGUGGAUGUGCUGUGUGCAUGCAGUUGCCCACCCUACGUUGUGUUUCGGGGCACAUAAGCUUCCUGUGCCUGCCGGGCAUGAGCGUGCAAGUGUCACCGCUCCCGCCCGGCGUGCCUUUGGGGUGUGCUCGGGUCUGCGUGAGGCUGUGUGUGUCCUGCUGUAUCUCUGCCCAGGUGUGCCCAGGUGAGCUGCGAGAGGGGCACGGGGGAAGGGCGGUCGUCGGGUCCUGUCCAUGUGCCAGCGUGGGUGGACUCCGGGCUGGGGAAGCGACAGGGAAUGGUGUGUGCGGAGGUGACAGACGCCAGAGCGAUGGGGUGGAACAUGCUGUGUCACGGGAGACUUUCUUGAUCAAAACGGAAAGUGCGAAUGUGGAAGGAAGAGGGGCCGUCCGUGGAGUCUGGGGACACCCGGGCAUCCGAGCCUCAGAGCCUCUGCAGCUGGGACAAGGAAGCCCGAGCCCGCCGCCUGAGGUCCCCGCGCCGUGAGUGACACGCGCCGCCGACAAAGGCUGUAUUUUUCCAGGCUCGCGCCCCGCCCGCGCGCGCGCGAUGGUCCCCAUGGCGACGCAGAUAGCGCCGCAGCCAUUUUCCCUAUCUCCCCGGAGUCUAUUAUACGGCGGGAUUAGCUCAUCUCCAGGCAGGUCAAACCCAAAGUCACACAACCUGCGACGCGGGCCCCGCCCCCACUCCCCCGCCGCCCCUCCCCCGCCCCGUCCCUGUCCCCAGCCCCGGCCCAGCGACCCCCGGCCGCUGCCCAAGCGCAGGCGCAGAGCGCCACCUGGCGGCAGCGGGGUCUCGGGUGGGGUCCGCGGAGCCCGUUCCCGUGCAGAAGAGGUGGGGUGAGGGUCUACCUCCAGAAGGCGGGCUCUGGGAGCAGAGGCUUUGCUUUGUCACCACUGUUCCUCAGGGCCAGACUAACACACAGUAGAUGCUCCAUAAGUGUUUGUUGAAAGAAUGGAUGGAGGGAGGGAUGGAUGGAUGGAUGGAUGGAUGGGCAGGAAAUUAUAGACGGGGGCAAACUGCCAAAGGCUACAGUUUAGUUGGCAGCAUUCUGAGAAUGCAUCCCACUGAAUUUAGAAUAAAAGCCAAACUCUUAGAACCUAUGUAGUCGCCCUUACUGACCUCUCAGACCUGAUUUCCUUCUUCCUCACUGCAGCCACAGUGACUCUCUUCCUGUUCCAGAGUGUUCCCACCCCAGGGCCUUUCAGUCUACUGUCCCCUCCACCCCGAAUGCAUUCUGCCUCCAUUCAAGUGUCACUCUCCAAAAGCCAAGUUUCUCCCCUGUCCCCCACUCUUCUCUGUCUAUGCAUUUCUUUUAUAGUGCUUAACACAGUCUCACCCCUGUGUGUGUGUUGUCUGACUCUCCCUCUAGAAUGCCAGGAUCCUUGCGGGGGAGGGGGCAGGAUCUCUUUUGUUUGUGGCUACAGCUCAGCAACUGGAAUCGUAUCUGACAAUUGGUUGGCAUCAGUCGCAACUCUGGGAAUGAGGGAAUGAGGACUAGAGGGGGCUGGACGGGCCCAGCCACCUGCCUUCUUCAUUGUCAUUUCUCUUUAUCACUACAGUAACUCCUCCUUCCCCCUAUGACUUUUGUAAGUCAUUCAGCAGCCACUCCAGCCCCACCGACCUGCCCCCAUCCCAGAGGGGUCUGGGAUGGAGAGAGAGAACCACUGAGGCCCCUCCACAUCCUUGCACCCGCCGUGCCCAUGGGGGCGGAGAACACUUCUCACCCAGCUCUCAGGGAGCGGUGGCCUCUCUAGGGAGGGCUGGCCUGCUGGCGAGACUUCACUCAUAAUACAAGAUAAUUAUACCAGAGUUGUCAUGAGGCAGUGAUGAUUAAUUGCUGUGUGUGGGGCACGGACAGACAGCGAGGUAUAGAGAGCGGAGAGAAGGCCGCAGCCCAACUGGGCUUCCAGGUGGGAGCUCAACCUGCCCAUCUCUGCCAUGGAAGGGACUCAGAGGUGUCAGGCCAAGCUUCACCUGCCCAGGCAGGCUUGUGACAAACUCCUUGGCCAGGAGCUCUGAGAAUUAGCUUCACUUCCCUCAGAAAUGCCCUAAUUCCCUCCUGGAAGAGGAGCUGUGUGACAGCUCAGGCCAGGGUGUCAGGACUGCCUCCGUCUCCUCCGCACACACAUACCCCUACCAGCUGGGUGGCUGUAUGCAAGUCAUUUUUCUACUCUGAGCCUCAGGGUCUUCCUCUGUCCACCUCCCCCAAGGAUUACUGGCAGAAUUAUGUGUGAGCAUGCAUUUAAAAAGAGUUCUGUUUUGUAAACCCAGGCUUUGCAAAUUGGCAGCCCAAGUCUCAGGGGCCUGUGCAGUGACUAAUCAUUGCCAACAGUUCGAAGUGGGAGAUUUCACAUAAAGAGCGUCAUUUCGAGCUUCUCUUGAAAAGUUGUAAGAUGAGCUACCCUGGGACUGUAUUCCUGAAUGACAAUAUAAUGGCGGAGUCCUGCAGUAUUACCGCCUGUGGACUUGUGCACCAGGGUUCCCUCCCAACCGCUUCAGGUCCUCGGGUAAGGGAUGUGCCCCUCAUGGAAAUACCAGGUGCUGUGGCUCUGCUGGUUUUGGCUUUCCAUCUCUGUAGCUUUCCAAUAUCUUUCUCCUUCCAGGUACUGUAAACCACUGAGUAAUUCAUUAGUUAAUAAAUUCAUCUCAUCAGCACUUUUAAAUAACGUGCUAGGCCACACUGUCAUGGACCCCAGAUAUACAGCAGCAAACAAAACAGCCAUGGUGCCCUCCCUCAGGGAGCAGUCAGUCCAGUGGAGGAAUCAGAUAUGACUCACCAUACUGAUUGAAAACUCUCCACAAAUUAUGAGAAGAAUGCUGAGGGAAGAAAGAACAUAGAUGGACUGCUGCUGAGUCCAGGCUUACUUGCAGAGAUCUAUGCUGGCCAGGCCCUGUGCUAGGCAGCAGAGGACAUGGAAUAAAAUCAAAUAUGGUCACUCUGUGCAGGCAGCUCACCGUGUGGUAAAGGAGCAGCCCCAUCAACAGGGUCUAUGAAUUCCAGCCUGUGAGAAUUGGAACCACAAGGUGAAUUUUGGAGGAGAGGCACUUACACUAAUCUGGAAGCAUAAUAUAUAAAGAGUACCUACAAAUCAAUAAAAAAA